CUUCGGGGCGGGGUGUGAUUCCCCACCGGCGGUGAUGCUUUCUAUAAUAGAAAGAUAAGCCCGCGAGCAGAAUGCAGAACCGGUGUGAAUCCGGUGCCGACGGUAUAGUCCGGAUGGAAGAAGAU
rnacentral:ncRNA from 1 species